GAUGAACGCUGGCGGCGUGCCUAAUACAUGCAAGUCGAGCGAACAGACGAGGAGCUUGCUCCUCUGACGUUAGCGGCGGACGGGUGAGUAACACGUGGAUCACCUACCUAUAAGACUGGGAUAACUUCGGGAAACCGGAGCUAAUACCGGAUAAUAUAUCCAACCGCAUGGUUCAAUAGUGAAAGACGGUUUUGCUGUCACUUAUAGAUGGAUCCGCGCCGCAUUAGCUAGUUGGUAAGGUAACGGCUUACCAAGGCAACGAUGCGUAGCCGACCUGAGAGGGUGAUCGGCCACACUGGAACUGAGACACGGUCCAGACUCCUACGGGAGGCAGCAGUAGGGAAUAUUCCGCAAUGGGCGCAAGCUUGACGGAGCAACGCCGCGUGAGUGAUGAAGGUCUUCGGAUCGUAAAACUCUGUUAUUAGGGAAGAACAAAUGUGUAAGUAACUAUGCACGUCCUGACGGUACCUAAUGAGAAAGCAACGGCUAACUACGUG
rnacentral:rRNA from 1 species